UCAACAUUUGUAAAGUGAAAACUGCAUCUAUAAAGCUUUUAGAAAGCUUCUUUGAAAGAUAUCAAGAAAUUAAUCUACUUUGAUCUACUUCUAUCUAAUUAUAUAGAUAAUUAUUAGAAUAAUAUGUAUGUUUAUGAUAUCUAUUUAAAAGAUCCUAACAAGAUAUAUACCAAAACAACAUAUUUAUAUAUAAUCCUUAAAUUCAAGAUUGUAUUUUAAAAUGUAUAGUUGUUAGUAUAUAAAUA
rnacentral:lncRNA from 1 species